GGGAAAUCGAAUUAGCUUGCCGGAGUUCAGAAAAAUGUCGAGACCGGAACUCCUAGCACCGCCGGAAAUUUUCUACAACGACGAUGAAGCUAGAAAAUAUACCUCAUCUUCUCGAAUUAUUGACAUACAGACACAACUUACAGAGAGAGCAUUGGAGCUCCUUGCUUUACCUGAUGACGGCGUCCCGAGAUUACUUCUUGAUAUUGGUUGCGGAUCAGGUCUAAGUGGGGAGACACUCACUGAGCAGGGACACCAGUGGCUUGGUUUGGAUAUAUCAGAAUCAAUGCUUGAUGUUGCAUUGGAGCGUGAGGUUGAGGGUGAUUUGAUGCUGGGUGACAUGGGUCAGGGCUUAGGGCUUCGAUCUGGUAUUCUGGAUGGUGCCAUCAGUAUCUCAGCUGUGCAGUGGUUGUGCAAUGCUGACAAAUCUUGUCAUGAACCUCGGAUAAGAUUGAAGGCUUUCUUUAGUUCCCUGUACAGAUGUUUGGGAAGGGGAGCAAGAGCAGUACUCCAGAUCUAUCCUGAAAAUCUUGCUCAGAGAGAGCUAAUUCUGGGUUUUGCCAUGCGAGCUGGAUUUUCUGGAGGCAUAGUUGUUGACUACCCACACAGUUCUAAAAGGAGGAAGGAAUACUUAGUUCUUACUUGUGGUCCGCCGUCUCUCAGUACCACUACUCCUGAAGGAAAGGGUGAAGAUGGAGAGAGUUGUUCUGAUGAAGAUAGUAGCGAGGAUGAAGAAAACCAGACAGUUUGCAUAUCUGACAGGCGCAGGCCUAGAAAAAAGCAAAAGGUUAACAAGAAAGGCAAAGGGAGGGACUGGGUUCUGAGGAAGAAAGAACAGAUGAGGAAAAAGGGGAAUGCAGUUCCUGCAGAUAGCAAAUACACUGCACGUAAAAGAAAAGAUCGGUUUUGAUCCAUUAGUAAGAUAUAUUCGGGUUGAUUUAUAUGUUUUCAACAGAACUUCAGCACAAGGAGCUAAAAUUAUUGCUUAUUGACCGAAGUGAGAAG
rnacentral:misc_RNA from 1 species